rnacentral:rRNA from 1 species
UACAGAGGUCCCAAGCGUUGUUCGGAUUCAUUGGGCGUAAAGGGUGCGUAGGCGGGUCUUUUAAGUCAGGGGUGAAAUCCUGGAGCUCAACUCCAGAACUGCCUUUGAUACUGAAGAUCUUGAGUUCAGGAGAGGUGAGUGGAACUGCGAGUGUAGAGGUGAAAUUCGUAGAUAUUCGCAAGAACACCAGUGGCGAAGGCGGCUCACUGGCCCGAUACUGACGCUGAGGCACGAAAGCGUGGGGAGCAAACAGG